AGAUUGAACGCUGGCGGCAUGCCUAACACAUGCAAGUCGAACGGGAGUAGCAAUACUCUAGUGGCGGACGGGUGAGGAAUACGUAGGAAUUUGCCCUUAAGUGGGGGAUAACCCGGGGAAACCCGGAUUAAUACCGCAUGACCUCGAAAGAGCAAAGUGGGGGAUCGCAAGACCUCACGCUUUUGGAGAAGCCUACGUCGGAUUAGCUAGUUGGUGAGGUAAUGGCUCACCAAGGCGACGAUCCGUAACUGGUCUGAGAGGAUGAUCAGUCACACCGGAACUGAGACACGGUCCGGACUCCUACGGGAGGCAGCAGUGGGGAAUAGUGGACAAGUGGGCGCAAGCCUGAUCCAGCAAUGCCGCGUGUGUAGAAGAACGGUCCGUUCGGUUAGUAAAGACUACGUUUAAGUUAGGG
rnacentral:rRNA from 1 species